rnacentral:misc_RNA from 1 species
GAUGAAGAACGUAGCGAAAUGCGAUAAGUAAUGUGAAUUGCAGAAUUCAGUGAAUCAUCGAAUCUUUGAACGCACAUUGCGCCCGCCAGUAUUCUGGCGGGCAUGCCUGUUCGAGCGUCAUUUCAACCAUCAAGCCCCCGGCUUGUGUUGGGGACCUGCGGCUGCCGCAGGCCCUGAAAACCAGUGGCGGGCUCGCUAGUCACUCCGAGCGUAGUAAUACAUCUCGCUCAGGGCGUGCUGCGGGUUCCGGCCGUUAAAAAGCCUUAUUUACCCAAGGUUGACCUCGGAUCAGGUAGGAAGACCCGCUGAACUUAAGCACAUCAAUAAGCGGAGGA